rnacentral:lncRNA from 1 species
UUUAAUAGAGUGGAAUUUACUAAGUGUGUAUAUGGUCACAAGGUCAUAGUGCAACUCAGGAUGUUUUACAAUGUUAUUCUUGUCAUCUGUUUACUUUAAAAAUCUCCAUUUCCUCAUCUUCACUAUAUUGCAAUCCUAGAGUGCAACAAUGAUUAGAGGAGAUAAAUUUUGUCAAACACCAGCAUGGUGUUUGACAUUGGAGAAGAACUCCUUGAACUGCAGGUGUUACCAUCAACUCGUGGUGCAACUCAGGGGCAGGGGAGAUCCUAGGUUUAGAAGAAAGCAAAUAAUUACAGUGGACGCAAGGAUUGAGGAAAAUAGGAAAAUUGAGCCAGAGCAUAAAUUAUCAAUGAGAAAAAGGAACAUGAAAAAUAGAUCCAGAGAAUAGAAUGAGGGAGACAGCAAGGAUGCUGGAGUGUUGGAGGCUGGUAUUGCACAUGAUGAUGCAUUAGAAGAUUUUCCUUGGAACACUCUUGGGAGUGUUGCAAAAGGAAGAAUCUUGAGGGUGCCUAGGAGAGACCUUAUCUACAUAACUAUAUCUCUUGCAGCUGACCCUCAUAUAUAUUCUUUGGUUCCCUCAGGCUGCAGAGGUAGCAAUGACAAAAUAAAUCCACUAGAUCUGAUGUUUUCCAAGAAAAGAGAUGUUGUAUGCCACAAGAUCUUGGCCAAAUUAAUCUCUACCCUUUUGUAGACUAUAUGCAGUUGUUCUUUUCAGUACUGUAUAUGCUUUGGGGAUAACUAGUCUUUAAUGAGUUGGAUUAAUUACACAUUUAAGUAUAAAAAGUAUGCAUCACAGGGAAGGCAGACAGAUUCCCCAAUUCCCUCACUCAAGUGAAUAUUAGUCAUCUUGUCAUAAUCUAAUGAUUUACUAUUCUAGGGUUUUUUAAAUUCUUAUUAAGAAAAAUGAUAUUUAACAACUCUUAUAAUUAUAGUUGAAUCGCUAUGAACACUUUUUGGAAGUAAAACCUAGGUAAAGUUUAGCCUCUCUUUAAACACUUUAGUUUAUGGAAUCCUCCAGAAGGACAAUGGACUUCUUUGGUUUAAAUAUCUUCAUUUCAGAAGCACUGUGCUCAAGGUCAAACCAGCAAUUUUCUCUAGUUUAACAUGGGUGACUGUGGAGAUGAACAGAUUUGACAUAUUUAAAUAAAACAUUCUGAUAGCGUGUUCUGGCCUCAUAGGCCUCAGGCAGCGUACGUUGUAUUUGUUAGACAUCAUGGCUUAAUUACUCUCAUAAAUGAAUUAUACCAAUUUCAAUUUAAAACCAUAAGUGUUACAGUUGAACUAGGGUCAAAUUAAACUUUCUGUCAAUUAUGUAGAUUACUUAAGCAAUUACGUAAAUUGUUAAUAAAUUCUUAAGUGAUGUGGGAUUUUUCUUGAGAAAAUAUCUGUUUUAUGCUAUUGGCUCAAAUACUUAGAGAACAUGGGAACUCAGGAUAAGGAAACCUUGCUCUAAAUGUGUCAAAGCAGUUCUCUUGGGAACAUUUGUUGUGACUAGGCCUUCUCAUCAAAUAGGGCUGGAAAUAGCAUGCUUUAUAGUCAAGACCUCCUCAGUUUUGCAAGGUGAAAAUGCACAUUCUUUAGUGUUUUCAAGACAGCAGUAGAGUUCCAAAUGUCAGGAUGGGAAGGAAAUAAUUGGGUGUUUUUUAAAAAGCAGAUCCACUGUAGUCACUUAUUAUUCUUCUACAAUUCUGUGCAGCUAAUGCACCCCCCCCCACACACACACACACACUUUGCCUGUUCUGAGGGCAGAGCUCGCUCACUGUGCACCUGCCCUUUAUAUGACAUUACAUAGUGAUACUAUGACAAGCCUGCAAGAUCAGGGAAUAAAAACACCACUGAUCCUCUCUCUCAGAUUGUGUUCAUUACAAUUUUCAUGAAUCUACUUCUAUUUUCCCUAACAUCAUAGGUCUCACAUCUCAACUUGUAGGGCUACCCUUAAGCAAACCUACUUAUCCAAACAAGAAAAGAAAUUCUUUUACUGAAGAAAAAAAGAAGAAGAAGAAAAACAACAAACCUUAGAUAGAAAAGCCAACUCCCUCACAUCAUUUUCAGUAUCCGGGUUAUAAAAGGCAGCAAACAUUUCCAAGAAUUGACAUAUCAGAAUCCUCCAGGGAGCAUAUAUUCACUCUUGUCUUUAAAAUGCUCAAAGGCGAGUAUUUGUCGAUUCCCUUUUUAUGUCUGGGUUUCUUCUAAUGUAAAGUGAAAAACUACUCUCUAGAAUGAUGGGGCCUCUUUUGACACAUGGAUGUAUGCUGUUGUAUUACGCUGGCUCACUCACACAGCAAAGUAAAAAAGGCUAAAGAGUUUACAGGUGCUGAGAUUUAAUAACUCCAGGGAAGUCAGGAUGACCAGCCAAUAGCCCCUCUCUGGGAGUCCUGAAACCUGCUCUGAUGUCAUAGCAUUUUUUGGUAUAUUCUGGCAAUCUCAGUAUUCUCUUGGCUCCUUAAAAUUGUUUCUUCUCUUUAAGAAGCUACCCAUGUACGCAGACAUCUUUAUAAGGAAUCAGAAAGGAUGAUAUGACAACCUAACAGAUAUCUAUGGGUGAAAAACUCUGUCCCAUGUUUCUGUCUUCAGAAUUAUCCGUGAGUCUAAAAGUUGCUAUAAUUGGAUUUUUAAGCUUGUCACCUUUCACAUAAUUAUGUUUGCUUUCCCAAGUACCUUAAUGGAAGAGGUUUACAUGUCUCCUAACAGAAAUGUCAAAGUUGUCCUGGGUUUGGAAGAGGAUGCUAACUAUUGUACAACUCAACUAUGACAAGGCCUGUUUGAAUCCAUUUGAGACAUUCCAAAGUUCACCUGUGACUAAUUGAAACCCUAAUAAAGACAAAACCGCUGACCUUGAUCCUCUGGGUCCCCUAUCUUGUGUAAAUUAACAUUUGAACAUGAGUUAUGAAAUGGGUGACAUAUCAAAAGGAAAGCACCUGAUAUGGUAAAAUAUGCAUAUUGAUGAGAAGAAUGAGAGAAUUCAAUGAAUGCUAAAUUAUCGGUCUUCAGAGGGCUGCCUUUGUUAAAAUCUACAUGUCACUAUCUGUAAACUCCAGAGUAUUCAACAGAAAGCACAGGGGCAAGUGUACCUGGCAAACCUUCCUUUUAUUUUCUCUUAUUAUAAAUUCUUUGUGAUGCAGAGGAAAGACUUUAUAAAAUAGUAGAUGAAAAGAUGCCUUUCAAAUUGUGCUUGCUUUGUGAUGACUGCUUCCUGGAUCUUCUGCAUACUUAAAAGUCAUCACCACCUUGAGUCAAUUGCUUGCUUUCAAAAACACAUUGCCCCCUCCCCAGUUCUGACACUGAGCUACCAGACCUGCAUUUUGAAAUGUCUUAUUGUCAUCGCCAUAAGCAUUUCUGCAAAGGCAAGCAAAGCAAAACAAAGCUCCAAAAAAAAUUUUUUUAAUCCGCCCAACAACAAUGCAUAGUGGGUACCCUCCAUGGCCCUGGUUUCAGGGCUACAUAUGACUGUAGACAGAAAGCUAUUUCAAGCAUUGAAAACAGCCUUAUUACUCUGCCAUUUUUGCACAGGUUUUUUUUUUUUUCCUUUCCUUCCCUGUGACAUUAGAGAGUCCGAAGUGACAUACAUUUUUUAUAGCUUCAUAAAGUCGUCUCCUGACCGGGUCACCCUUCUCAUAACUAGGGAGCAGAACGCUUGAAAAAACCCAUUCAUCAACGUGAAAGCAGCCUCUGUCUGCGGGUUCCAAUAUGCACAGCCUGGCAAGAUCCAGCUCAGUGCAAAUGCUAACUUACUCCUUUGCUAAUGCCAAAUGACCCACUCACUUCUAUCAGCACACCAAGGAGGACAAGAAGGGCAUGGUGGCUGUCCACAUCCACAGGAGUACAUCUCAAGACAGCCCAGCGCCAAACCUUCCUGCUAAAUGUACUGAACACAUUCAAAAAUUAGUUCUAUAUUUAUACUAAUUAAAUAUUCAAUUAAACAAAGAUAAAAUUGUGGAGGAAAAUUUGUUCUUGCCUAAUGGACUAUAGCCCAUUUAUUACUUUUUCACAGAUAUACCAUUAAAGUUCC